rnacentral:lncRNA from 1 species
CUGUCCAAUAGCCGCGCGAGCAGCUAUUUUUAUUUCUGCGUUUCUGCUACUGAUAACAGAGGAGAUGAACGGCUGGCAGAAUUUUCUCUGAACUUCCAUGCUCUCCUCUAUGGCAAGACCUUCUAAGCACUCCCUCUCUGAACUCCUUCAAAAGUAGUAAGUAUAUGUGAUUCUAGUAGGAAGAUGAAUUCAGUCAAAAAAGGAUUGAUGCAUGUUUGCUGACUGUAGUUCCUAUGUGAAGCUGCACAUGUUGAGCAAAAACAUGCUUAUGUGCAUGUUCAUAAGCUCCUUGCCUAUAAUUUUUUGAUCUUUAUCUUUCUGAUCUGCACUGGAUUGCCUUGUGGCGUAUUAUUCCUAAUUUCCCUCAUGAGAUUGUAUGAAAUGAAGGAACCGUCUUGGUGGAUGAGUAUUUCAAGUUCAUUUCUCACUAGAGAUACUUUGAUUUUUAUUCUCAAGUUCAGUUCUUGUGGCAUCUUAUCGUCAAGGUAGCUCCUCCCCCUUGUCCCUUUCUCACUCUCAUAAUUUUUUGCAGCUACACACCCUGAUAUUCUACACCUACUCGACUGUUCUUGCAGAUUUUGCCGACCAUCAUUUCUGCAGGGCAAUGUGUAUAUUUUUAGCAGGACAAUGUGUCGAUUGAAGAAAUUUGUGUAUUCAAAAUAUUAAGGCAAUGUUGAUGAAUUAAUUUUUUGUGUUAGAUGAUAGUAGUUCAGCAGGCAACCACGUGCGUGGUGAUGCAGUGUGAAGGCCGUGGAUGGCAUGUUGUGUGCGUGCGUGAUGUCGCUAUUGGUUUCUGCUAUGAGGCGAAAUUAAUUGUUGUUGUUAUUAAGAUUCUAUAAUUUAACAGAAAAAUUAGGAGAGAAAUUAACUUGUUUUGCUACCGUACAUGGGUAGCACUUGG